UUGUCUCUUUUUCGACGCCGCGGACAAAGAACCGUUGCUCUCUUAUUUCAGCCCUCUUUUAUACUUUUUCUCCACUGUGUGUGUGUGUGUGUGUGUGGAGAGCUUGGUCUGCGUGACUUCCUGAACAUCUGCUGCUUCUCUGGUGGAAAGUCCCGGCCCCCAUCCUGUUUGCUGAGUCCAGUAAAAAGUUCCUCCUUUUUCCAACUUGCGACAUUUCCUGUCAGCCGGGCCUCACCCAUCCUGCUGACUGUACUGUUCCACUUCCUCUUUUCCUAUAACUCCUCUCUUUAUCUGUUAACAUUAUCAACCACAUUCAACUUAGUAUUAAAAUCAUUUAAAUCAACUGUAAAUCAUUCAAAUCAUCUCAGCUCUGAUAUACAUUAAAAAUUAAUCACUUCUCUUUCAGAUUAUAAGUCAUCAAUCCAUAAUUAUUUGUUAACACUAUUAUGGUCAUUAUGGUCAUUAUUCAGAAAUACAUUUCAGAAUCAUUUAGUGGUCACCUAUACACAUACACAUAUUAGGGAUUGUACUCAUACAUGUUCAACUUAAUCAUUA